CUUUUGGACAUUGGGUGGCCAUCUUCCCUCUUGCUAGCAAGCUGUAAUAAAAUGCCCUUUCUCUGCCACCAUCUUGCCUCUUGACGACUGGCUUUUGUCUCGCAAUAAGCAGACCGUGCCCUUUGUGCGGUAACAAAAUCUGGCGACCGCAAAGGGCAAUAAGUCCUGCUCAUGGCCAGUCAACCUGGGAUGGGCAGCCUGUUGGGUAAGUCCCUUGUGGCCGCUGAGACGCCCUUUGUCUCAGGGAUCUGCUUUUCCUGCUCUCCCAUGCCAUUACCAGCUGCCUCCUAACGCUCCCUAUGGUGGAAAGAGAAAUGGCUACCUCUGGGGGGUCGACGGGCUCACAUCUGGAGUAGGGUAAGUCACCUUGGGGGUGCAUCACCAAGAACUUUCCUUCCCUCCCAUUUGGGGUCCCCUCUUGGAGAAGGGGACCAUUUGUUUCCCUCCUGGAGUGGGAAAAGGCAUAGGACUUCACCUGAAAUCUAGGAACCGGUUCACUGGUAUCUGGUUUUUCCGUGUUUGUGUUUGUGUCUGUGUCUGUAAAGAGCUCCAGGAUCAGAUGUCUUUUGAGUGAAUGACCUUGCCUAAAAUUGUCUAACAUCUCAUCCAGAUUGUGGGUUAGAGGCCCCAGUGGUGAGAUUUGGCUGCUGGGUUAAAGUCCCAAGACCAGGAUUGUGGGAGACAAUAUAAAGCGGUUACAGCCGCCGGGGCCCUCAAAAGGAUCAGGUUAGCGUCCUGAGCUCUGGGUUAGAGUCCCAGAAAGAUUGUCUAUGUCUGAGUGUUCUAUUUGUUAAAAUUGGCUGUUUGGAGGAUGAGUUUCUCAGUGAUCUUAACAAACUCUCUUUAGAAAUUAUCUUGUUUGUUGCGGCCAACUUGGAAAAGCCCUUUAAAAUGGUGAUAACUGUAAACAACUGGCAAGAUGACCUGGGAAAAUUUAAAAUUACACUGGCCAUUCUGGGCUCUUUUUGAGCCUCCAAACCAAGGAACAAGGAAAAAUCUCUAAUCUUUAAAGAGUCAAGGGCUCCACCUGUCAACAGAGAGUUUCCGGAAGCUGUAAAUGUUUACAGAGAACAGGAGAAUCUUGCCAAGCUUGUUUUGUGUCCUGAGGGCUCGGCUUGAUAACUGUCAGGUUGUGGGGGAGGGGAAUGUUCCAAAAUACAGUUGGACGAAAAUAUGGUUGCAUCCCAUUUUGCAAUAAGAGGUAAUCAGACAGAAAUGCAGCUUGCACUCCUGUUUGUGGCCAAGAGUCCUACCGAACCACUGUCAGCCUCAGGGGAAUUACACUGGUCAUUAGAAGAAAGUCUUGGCUGGGCUUUCAUUGUUAGGGUCUUGAUUUUAGGGAUGUUUGAAAUUUUUGCAAUCUGAUUCUAGCUGCAGCAUAAAUAUACUUUUUGCCAACAAUGCUUAAGUUCUGAAACAACGGCAAACACUAAUUCGAUCCCCACGUGUAGGCCCUUAGGCUGCAUUCUCCUGAGUUGGGUGGCUUUGAGCUCCAAGCUAAAAUACUGAGUCCUCAUUGUAUUGACCCUUCUCCUCUCAGAGACAGCUGCUAUUUCUGUUUGUGUGUCAUCUGUCAUAAAAAGGAAAAACCAUAGAGCAAGAUGCAGACACUCCAUGAGCCUGUUGUCUGGGUGGCCGCAGUAGGCUUUGCUGCAGGGCCCGCCUACGAAAUAUGCACAUAAGGUAGAAACUGUUGCUAAGGGCAUCUUGGGAGCCCAAAGGGCUGCAAGCAAUAUUGGUGGGCAUGGUUAGAGCAGGUAAGUGCCAUCAGGGCGCUCACCACCUCAAGAAGUCUCCCAUGAAAGGAUGAGUUGGUCACGGAAUGGGGUAGAUGACACAGGUCCCCCUGCCAACUUCAAGAAAAUGUCUGUGCAAUGAGUAGGUACUUUGUAAAGAAUACACAAUCCCCAACCCUGUGUCACCUCCCUCCUAGGUGUUAUUCUGGCUCUAAGAGACCCAAAGCAUAGCUAAAACAGUUAAUGUGCAUAUAAGAUGAGGUUUUUUUUUUUUUUUUUUGUCUACUGGUGUGUGUUGAGAGCUUGGUUUUGUGAUCUCUCUGGUCACAAGGGGUCCCAGUCCAUCAAAGGCCUCUGUUGUCUCAACCUUUGUUGCUUGUCAGUGCACUACCAUCUAUGCAGCAGAAGCCUUUGCUUUCUUGGACUGUUUUUGGGAGUGAAGUUUCUAGAUCUUGUGACGGCUGCUUCUUUUGCACUCUCUUGUGGGGACGCCUCUUGCAUCCAUAGUUAAGCCACAAAUGCUUGUAGAUAUUGGAAUGUUAAAAAACUGAUAAGGCAACUGUGCCCCAGAAACUCUAUCUUGGAGAAAAUUUGAGUGGUUUCUCUGUGCCUUUGUGAUGUAGCUGGAUGGGUAGAUCAACCUGUAAUGUCAUUUAAGUUACAACCCAAUUUCUGAGAAAUUAAGAACAACUAUCCUUGAAAAAAAAAUCCUUGCAAGACUGGAAAGGCAGCUCUAGAGGCAGUUCAGGUUCCACCCACUUCCCUUAUCUCAAAGAGCCUGCGAAUCCUCUGGGGAAUAUCUAGCCCAUCACUAGUUCCUAGGACUGAAGAAAAAAAAAGGGGGCAGAAGCAAGAAAAAUAGCCAGAAGAGUGCCCUCGCCAAAAAUGUAGCAUCUUGAGUAUCCUCUCCACAAAUAUUAGUAAAAAGGCUUAAUACAAAAAGUUGGAUUCAUAACUAGGGAACCUUGUACCUGAUUCAUGGCAGUAAUUUUAAAACAAUAGCUGUGCAGUCUAUGUGUAUGUGCAUCCAUAUGUAUGUUAUAUGUCUGUGAUAUUUUUACCUCCAGAUAGUAUGGCCAAAAAUUAAGAGCUCUGUUUAAUUGGCUUAAAAGAAGUGCUUACCUAAAUUAUUUCUAAAUGGAAAAGAAAUUAACCCAAAUGUCUUUUAAGUUACAAGAUGUAAAAUUGAUUUUUGGUAACUGAAAGCUUAUUUAAGAUUGUCAGUUUGAUUGAAAUAAGCAUGUCCUUAGCAUUGUCAGUGUUUUGAUAUGAUGCAGACAUGUAUGGGUUUAUUGGUCAAACAAGCUGAUGUUAUCUCUACCGUAAAACUGGUUAGCAAAAAUAAUAACUUAAAAUGAUGGCUAAUUUUGUCUAAUGUCUCAUGAAGUUUUGUAGGCAAUCUAAGUAAUUAUUAGAAGCAAGCAAGCUGAAUAAAUGUAAAAAGGGUAAAAGUUUUGGGGGAAACUUUUUAAUGCAUGCACUUAAAACAACAAGAUGAUGGCUAAGUGCUUUAGUGUCGUAUGAAGUUUUUGUGAGUAAUCUAAAUACGAUUGUUACAAACAAAUGGUCUAGAUAAAAGCAAGAUAAGAGUUUGUAGAUAAACUUUUAGCAAUUAUUAUAGCUUAUGACAUGCAUAUUUUAAAAUAACUUCCAAAAUCUUUCUGGUAACCUGAAACUUCGAAGUGUCGCUAGGUAAAAUUGAAAGAUAAAAAAUUCACUGAAUAUCUGGGUCAUUUUUCAAAUAAGAUAAAAUACUGAAACAUUAUCAUUAGACAUGUCUGUGUUUAUUUACUUUUGGUUUCUUCCUACAAAAAAACUAAAAGAUGUUUGGGUCUAUUAGUAAACAGGUCUUGUGUUUUAUUAAGAUUGUACCAUCAAGUAGCAUGUUUCUAGAAGUUAUAAAAAGUAUUUAUAAAUUUGCCAGGCCACAGAAUGCUAAUGUAAAAGACAGUUCAUAAUUGCUUAGCUUUUAGUUUUUACUAGGGUCUGUAAGGGUUAAAAAUUCUAAUUAAUAUAUGUAAUUAAAGCUACUAGAAAUUAAUAAGGCAAACAUCUUUAUAUCUAAGGGAAGUAAAAUGUAUGUUUUCAGUAAAGAAGGUAUAAAGAUUGGGAGUAUUUUUGUUUGUUGGGUUAAGAAAGAUAAAUUUGUUGUCAAGUACUAGAAGGGAAGAAAGAAAGCAUGGGACAAAUUCUGAAUGUAAAAAGAAAGUUAUAGAAGGUUUGUGAAAGAGAAAUUCUGAAAGAACUUUUAUGCUGGUCAAGUUGGCUAAGAUUAAAGUAAAUCCAAUUAAGUAAAUGAAUUUUCAUGUAAAAAAAAUAUGAGUUGGUGCAAAAUUAAAAUUUGUUUUUCUCUCUCAAAAGGAUAAUUUUCUUGAACUUUUGGUCUGCUCUUGAUAAAGAAUUUAUAAAAGGUUUUUCUUUGAAGAAGUCUAUGUAAAAGACAGAAAAUCUGUUUUGUUAAAAUGGUUUCCUAUGUUCAGAAAGACUGAGGUCUCUCUAUUAAGAUUUUUGACUGUUUUAACUGUUUGCCCUUGACUGUUUCUGUUGUCACUUUGAUUGAAUAGAGCGAGCGUUGUUUCCUAUUUGACCAAGUGUUUUAAAACCUUUUGAUAUUUUUGACAAGUUCCCUCCAGCCAAAAUAUUUAAAUCCUGAAUAAAGGCUUUCUUUUGGCCUGGAAGAAGGAAGAGAAUUUCUCUGAGGAUUUUCAGAGGGCCCCUGAGACUUCUCAAAGAGAUUUGCUCUCUCUUCCUAUAAGGAGGAAGACACUAAGGUAAUUAGGCUUAUUUGGUAUGUUCAAUUACAUGGGAAGCAUUGUUAAAUAAGUGAUGAUAAACUUUCUAGGGUGGUAUUAUAUGAGUAAUUGUUAUUGAUAUAAAUGUUUUAAAAAUUACAUAACAUUCCUAAAAUUCUGAUCAGUCCUGGUUGUCAGCCAUAAUUCUGGUUGUUAUUUUAAAGUAUUGUAUGUCACAAAAUUAACCACAUUUCUUUAUCAGUUGCCAUUUUGGGAUCUUGUUGCUUAUAGGCAGUUAUUAUUUUAUUCUGAUGCUUUUGCAAAAUAUGUUUCAUCUUCAGAGAAAUUCAUGGAAAGGACUUUGACACUCUAGAAUACAGGUUUCCGACAAACUUUCAGAUUGUAAAACUGAAGUGGGUAAGAAAUUACAGAACUCUAAUAGAGAAACUGAUGACUUCAUGAAACUGCUGACAGAAGAUUAAGGUCAAGAAUCGAUUACACAGGACUGUGGAACCUAUGAAGAUGAUUAUAAUUUUUAUGAUUUUUGUUUGAAAUGUUGAUUUUUUAAAUGUUUUCUUUUGUCUUCUCAGAUUUAAGGAAAUCUUUUUCUGUUUUCUCUUAUGCUAACUAUGACUUAUAGCAACUUGGUGAAAUUAUACCUUUAUGAGCAGAAUUGAAACAUUUAUCUUUUUCUCCCUACCUGAUCCCUCCAGAAUUUGGAAACUCUUAGUGAGUGAGAGAGUAUGGUUAUUUUCACGGCAGCAUAGCUAUUUGUAUAAGUUCAAUAAGAAUCUUCUCUCCCUAUAACUGGACACAUUUGGAAACAUCUGUCAUUUAACCAAGUCUUUGACUGGAAUGUCAUAUUUGAGAGAAAUAUACAGACUCAGAUAUGACAAGACAGUUUUUGAGGAAUAAAGGUUAACUUCCUGAAAUAAAGCCACUUGGAAAUAUUGGCCUGGUACCUUGUUUACAAGGAUUCCAGCAGCCCGGCUGCCCUUUUUCCUGAAGCCUUGCAAGCUGAAACUCGAGGACUUGAUAUAAACUUCAGAGAUAUUCAUAGCUGUUGCUAUGUAAGCUCCUCAGAAAGAUACCUGAACACCUGAUGGCAUCAUCAGGGAUAUUUCAAACUGCAAAAGAUGCUUUGACCCUGACAUCUAGAAGUUUUCUUGACUGGCUGACCCUGGGCUCAGAAACUGGUUUAUAAUUUGCUCCCACCAUUAACCUUGUUUUUCUUUUUGUCUCUGUAGAAAUGCUUCUUAUUAAAUAUCUGGUUACCUGCUUACCCAAUAUAGGCCUAACUAUGGGAGCCCACCUGCAUCACCGUCUUACUAAGAGACUGGUUCCAUGAGAUGGAACAACCUAUGACCCUCAUCAACAGGGUGUCCCUCAAGAUUGAGGGAUGAAAAACAAAAAGGAGGAAUUGAAACCAGCUCAACACAAGGUUGACAUAAGGGAAGCCAUAUUGUAGAAAAGAAACCAUGUUGUAACUUUGAAUGACCUCUGACUAACUAACCCAGCUGGAUUUGCACCCUCCAGGAGAUCCACCUGUUCUGUAUAUUUUUUUAAAGAUUUUAUUUUUCCUUUUUCUCCCCAAAGCUCCCUGGUACAUAGUUGUGGAUCCUUCCAGUUGUGGCAUGUGGGAUGCCACCUCAGCAUGGCCCAAUGAACAGUGCCAUGCCUGCACCCAGGACCUGAACUGGCAAAACCCUGGGCUGCCAAAGCAGAGUGCACAAACCCAACCACUUGGCCAUGGGGCCAGUGCCUGUUCUGUAGAUUUUGUGACCGCUGCCUGUGCAUAUACCUUCCAGCUGUGAUAAGACAAUAACUUCAUUCUUUUGAGUUCCUUAGGAAUGUGAUGAUCCCCAAAGAGAGAGUUUCUGCUGAUAGCCAUCAUCAAUGAAAACUGAAAGACCUGGUGUGGCCACUCCCAGUCUGUAACACCAGAGGGUCAACAUUCCUAAGCCCCUACCCUAUAACCCAUUGGCCCAUAUAACUGCUUCAGGAUUCUGUGCCCUGCUUAAGAUGGUUUUUUUGGACAUUAGUCAGCCAUCUUCCCUCUUGCUAGCAAACUGUAAUAAAAUACUCUUUCUCUGCCACCAGCUUGCCUCUUGACCUUUGGCUUUUGUCUCACAGCGAGCAGAUUGUGCCCUUUGUGCAGUGACAUUAGGUGCUCAGUGCCCUGACAUCACUGAGGUUUGUCUCAUGUCUAUGAGACAUGACUAUGUCUCUGUCUAUGGGGCCUCUCCCGGGCAGCAAGUCAAGCGCUGGCUCCUUCCAUUUCUAGAUGCUGCCAUCUUGAAACAGGGCCUUCACAGUGAACAUGGAAGGGAAAGAGAGAGGGUGGAAGGUUGAAUGGGGGCUUGUGCUCAGGCGUGGGGGGGCAGGCAUGACUCCUGUGCAUAUCCCAUGGUCCAGAACCAGUCCUGUGGUCCCAAUUCAUGGCCAGAGAGCCAGGGAAAUGUCAUCUUCCCAUGUGCCCAGGAGGAGAAGAUGGGAUGAGGGGGCAUGUGGUCUGAUUCUGCCACACUCGCCCUCUGAAAACCACAGUUUCCUUGUCUGUAAAAUGGGAUUUGCAUGGGACUUGGAUUACUGAGUCCCAGCUCUGAGUUAGGGGAGCUGCUUCAUGAAAAUCUGGU
ensembl:lncRNA